AAAAAAAAAAAAAAAGAUUGAGGAAAAUCUAUGAACUGAUUUCUAGGAUAUACUGUUACCUGGAAAAAAGCAAAGAGCAACAGCGUGCACAUAUGUGUGUGCAGGUGUGUGCGCAUGCAUAUCUACUUAAAAUGCUGGAUAAUCA
rnacentral:lncRNA from 1 species